rnacentral:rRNA from 1 species
UACAGAGGGUGCGAGCGUUGUUCGGAAUUAUUGGGCGUAAAGCGAGUGUAGGCGGGAUCGUAUGUCGGGCGUGAAAGCCCUCAGCUCAACUGAGGAAGUGCGCACGAAACUGCGGUUCUUGAGUGUCGGAGAGGGUGACGGAAUUCCCGGUGUAGAGGUGAAAUUCGUAGAUAUCGGGAGGAACACCAGUGGCGAAGGCGGUCACCUGGACGAACACUGACGCUGAGACUCGAAAGCGUGGGUAGCAAACAGGAUUAGAAACCCCCGUAGUCC